AGUGGCGAACGGGUGAGUAAUAUAUCGGAACGUACCCUAGAGUGGGGGAUAACGUAGCGAAAGUUACGCUAAUACCGCAUACGAUCUAAGGAUGAAAGUGGGGGAUCGCAAGACCUCAUGCUCGUGGAGCGGCCGAUAUCUGAUUAGCUAGUUGGUAGGGUAAAAGCCUACCAAGGCAUCGAUCAGUAGCUGGUCUGAGAGGACGACCAGCCACACUGGAACUGAGACACGGUCCAGACUCCUACGGGAGGCAGCAGUGGGGAAUUUUGGACAAUGGGCGAAAGCCUGAUCCAGCAAUGCCGCGUGAGUGAAGAAGGCCUUCGGGUUGUAAAGCUCUUUUGUCAGGGAAGAAACGGUGAAAGCUAAUAUCUUUUGCUAAUGACGGUACCUGAAGAAUAAGCACCGGCUAACUACGCGCCAGCAGCCGCGGUAAUACGUAGGGUGCAAGCGUUAAUCGGAAUUACUGGGCGUAAAGCGUGCGCAGGCGGUCUUGUAAGUCUGAUGUGAAAUCCCCGGGCUCAACCUGGGAAUUGCAUUGGAGACUGCAAGGCUAGAAUCUGGCAGAGGGGGGUAGAAUUCCACGUGUAGCAGUGAAAUGCGUAGAUAUGUGGAGGAACACCGAUGGCGAAGGCAGCCCCCUGGGUCAAGAUUGACGCUCAUGCACGAAAGCGUGGGGAGCAAACAGGAUUAGAUACCCUGGUAGUCCACGCCCUAAACGAUGUCUACUAGUUGU
rnacentral:rRNA from 1 species